rnacentral:tRNA from 1 species
AUUUUUAUAGUGUAAUAAACACAUUACAUUUUCGUUGUAAAGUUGAAAUUAUUUUAUUUCUAAAAAUA